UACGGAGGGUGCGAGCGUUGCUCGGAAUCACUGGGCGUAAAGGGCGCGUAGGCGGCUGAUUAAGUCGGGGGUGAAAGCCUGUGGCUCAACCACAGAAUGGCCUUCGAUACUGGUCAGCUUGAGUAUGGUAGAGGUUGGUGGAACUGCGGGUGUAGAGGUGAAAUUCGUAGAUAUUCGCAAGAACACCGGUGGCGAAGGCGGCCAACUGGACCAUCACUGACGCUGAGGCGCGAAAGCGUGGGGAGCAAACAGG
rnacentral:rRNA from 1 species